GGUGAUGUCUCCUUAUCAUUAGCAAUGGAGGCACUCGGUCAUGCUGUGGGUUAGUAGAUAAACCUUAGACGCUUGUCGUCAAAGGUGUGAUGUGAGGGGGGGUUAGAUGCCC
rnacentral:ncRNA from 1 species